rnacentral:rRNA from 1 species
ACGGGUGAGUAACACGUGGGUAACCUGCCUGUAAGACUGGGAUAACUCCGGGAAACCGGGGCUAAUACCGGAUGGUUGUCUGAACCGCAUGGUUCAGACAUAAAAGGUGGCUUCGGCUACCACUUACAGAUGGACCCGCGGCGCAUUAGCUAGUUGGUGAGGUAACGGCUCACCAAGGCGACGAUGCGUAGCCGACCUGAGAGGGUGAUCGGCCACACUGGGACUGAGACACGGCCCAGACUCCUACGGGAGGCAGCAGUAGGGAAUCUUCCGCAAUGGACGAAAGUCUGACGGAGCAACGCCGCGUGAGUGAUGAAGGUUUUCGGAUCGUAAAGCUCUGUUGUUAGGGAAGAACAAGUGCCGUUCAAAUAGGGCGGCACCUUGACGGUACCUAACCAGAAAGCCACGGCUAACUACGUGCCAGCAGCCGCGGUAAUACGUAGGUGGCAAGCGUUGUCCGGAAUUAUUGGGCGUAAAGGGCUCGCAGGCGGUUUCUUAAGUCUGAUGUGAAAGCCCCCGGCUCAACCGGGGAGGGUCAUUGGAAACUGGGGAACUUGAGUGCAGAAGAGGAGAGUGGAAUUCCACGUGUAGCGGUGAAAUGCGUAGAGAUGUGGAGGAACACCAGUGGCGAAGGCGACUCUCUGGUCUGUAACUGACGCUGAGGAGCGAAAGCGUGGGGAGCGAACAGGAUUAGAUACCCUGGUAGUCCACGCCGUAAACGAUGAGUGCUAAGUGUUAGGGGGUUUCCGCCCCUUAGUGCUGCAGCUAACGCAUUAAGCACUCCGCCUGGGGAGUACGGUCGCAAGACUGAAACUCAAAGGAAUUGACGGGGGCCCGCACAAGCGGUGGAGCAUGUGGUUUAAUUCGAAGCAACGCGAAGAACCUUACCAGGUCUUGACAUCCUCUGACAAUCCUAGAGAUAGGACGUCCCCUUCGGGGGCAGAGUGACAGGUGGUGCAUGGUUGUCGUCAGCUCGUGUCGUGAGAUGUUGGGUUAAGUCCCGCAACGAGCGCAACCCUUGAUCUUAGUUGCCAGCAUUCAGUUGGGCACUCUAAGGUGACUGCCGGUGACAAACCGGAGGAAGGUGGGGAUGACGUCAAAUCAUCAUGCCCCUUAUGACCUGGGCUACACACGUGCUACAAUGGACAGAACAAAGGGCAGCGAAACCGCGAGGUUAAGCCAAUCCCACAAAUCUGUUCU